rnacentral:rRNA from 1 species
UACAGAGGUCUCAAGCGUUGUUCGGAUUCAUUGGGCGUAAAGGGUGCGUAGGCGGCGCGGUAAGUCGGGUGUGAAAUCUUGGAGCUUAACUCCGAAACUGCAUUCGAUACUGCCGUGCUUGAGGACUGGAGAGGAGACUGGAAUUUACGGUGUAGCGGUGAAAUGCGUAGAUAUCGUAAGGAAGACCAGUGGCGAAGGCGGGUCUCUGGACAGUUCCUGACGCUGAGGCACGAAGGCCAGGGGAGCAAACGGGG